rnacentral:lncRNA from 1 species
CAAAACGUAUUUUAUAAUUCCGUAUAUAUUCAAUUAUACCAUAAUUAGUCAUAGCAUUUUUUAUAAAAUCAAUUAAAUUCUAUAGUAGAUUAAAUUCAACACGUCAAAAUUAAUUAAUUUUAUGUAAUAUUACACAAAUUUAACUAUCGAGCUGUGAAUUAUCAACUGUAAAAGUAUAUUAAAAACGUAAUUUACGCGAUAAAUAAU